AACGGGGGGGGGCGAGCGUUAUUCCUAAUGACUGGGCGUAAAAUUGGGGUGCGCAGGCAGAUAUUUUAGCUCCAUCUCAAGUGGCAGGGCCUCGCCUUUGACCUGGGUGGAGGGCGAUUUGAUCUUCGGAUUUUUGAGGGGGGAAACGGUACGUCCGGUGUAGAGGUAAAAUUCGUAGAUACCAGGAAGGACCAACAAUUGGCAAAGGCGGUUUCCUAGCAUUAAUUGACGCUAAGGCACGAAAAGCGUGGGGGAGCAAACGGGG
rnacentral:rRNA from 1 species